GACGAACGCUGGCGGCGUGCCUAAUACAUGCAAGUAGAACGCUGAAGGAGGAGCUUGCUUCUCUGGAUGAGUUGCGAACGGGUGAGUAACGCGUAGGUAACCUACCUGGUAGCGGGGGAUAACUAUUGGAAACGAUAGCUAAUACCGCAUAAGAGUAGAUGUCGCAUGACAUUUGCUUAAAAGGUGCAAUUGCCUCACUACCAGAUGGACCUGCGUUGUAUUAGCUAGUUGGUGAGGUAACGGCUCACCAAGGCAACGAUACAUAGCCGACCUGAGAGGGUGAUCGGCCACACUGGGACUGAGACACGGCCCAGACUCCUACGGGAGGCAGCAGUAGGGAAUCUUCGGCAAUGGACGGAAGUCUGACCGAGCAACGCCGCGUGAGUGAAGAAGGUUUUCGGAUCGUAAAGCUCUGUUGUAAGAGAAGAACGAGUGUGAGAGUGGAAAGUUCACACUGUGACGGUAUCUUACCAGAAAGGGACGGCUAACUACGUG
rnacentral:rRNA from 1 species